UACAGAGGUCCCAAGCGUUGUUCGGAUUCACUGGGCGUAAAGAGCUCGUAGGCGGUCUGUCGCGUCGGAUGUGAAAAUCCAGGGCUUAACCCUGGACCUGCAUUCGAUACGGGCAGACUAGAGUUCGGUAGGGGAGACUGGAAUUCCUGGUGUAGCGGUGAAAUGCGCAGAUAUCAGGAGGAAUACCGAUGGCGAAGGCAGGUCUCUGGGCUGACACUGACGCUCAUGCACGAAAGCGUGGGGAGCAAACAGG
rnacentral:rRNA from 1 species